rnacentral:lncRNA from 1 species
GUUUUGAGGCCCAGAGAGGCAGGAAGGCACGGUAGUGGACUCGGGACUGACUGUCUAGGUAUGGGUUGGGGACUAGAGCACGUGGAAAUCUUUUGCAUUUUGGUCCUCCAGAUGAUGGCUAAGCUCUGAUGCCUAGACAAGCACAAAAACAAGAGGUGGAGGAGAUCAUAGAGAACAUAAGUAUACUUGACUGGGAUUAUUCUUACAUGAGGAAGCAAGGAUCCCACUCUGUGCAAGAGAGACUGAUAUUGGCAAAGAGACUGGAGGCUGCUACAACUUCCCAUCAUGGCCUUGGCAUGUGGUCUCUUGCAAGCAGUUUUAAUACCUGUCAUACAAACAGAGGGCCUGUUCGCACUACAGCGGUAGUCCGUUCGCUGGAAUGGAGCUUUUGCACUCCCGUGGGUGCGCACCUCACCCGAUCCGAACCUGAUGUUGGGUAAGGCAAGACAAGUAAUUACUGUCAGAAUAUGGAUUCUAUAUUAGCCAUAAGCUAAUGCCAGUAUUCUCUAGUCUUAACAAUUUCCUGUUUCCUGUAUUAUGGUUAUUUUGUUUAUGCUAAAUGGAAAGUUACUGGAAGAAGUCAAACAUCCAGCUUCAUAGAUUUGUUAUGGCUAGUGUGUUACAGAUAACAGUAUUUCCUAUCCGUGAGAACCUUAGCUUGAGAGCUUAUCUAUUCAAUAACAAUGUAUUACAAUAACAAUGAUGUGAUGCUAUAUGAGUUCUUU